rnacentral:lncRNA from 1 species
UUGAGAUAGGCCUAGAGAAGCUAGAGUGUAAUAAGAGAGUGUGCUCAGGUUGGAUUAGAUGUUGAAUUGAGUGCUAGUUGUGUUUCUUUUGGCUAUGAGCUCCCCACCUUAAAACCUCUCUCCCUAUGAGUUCUAGAAAGUUCACUUGUGGACAAGUAAAAGAACAAGUUUGGGGGAGUUGAUAUCUUGCAUAUUUCCAUUGUCUUAUCCAUUCACUCAUGUGCAUUUUGAUCAUAUAGACUAGGAUUUAGCCACGUUUAGGUUGUAUUUUGCAUACAUGAGUCUUUAUCAGGUGUUGGAGUACCACA